UGUGCAGAAUGCUCCAAUGAUGCGCCACUUGCUCCGCCUCAGAGCUUUCAUAACAAUCCAGGAAACAGCAUUAAAAUAUUUACCAGAACCGAAAGCAUUUCGUUCAGUAAGCGUCUAACGUUACACACGCCGCUGGAUCCAGUCAAGACCCACAGCAGCUGUCAGGAUGACCGUCAAAGUUCACAUCACUUACUGUGGUGGAUGAGGGUACAGGCCCAAGUUCACCAAACUCAAGGCGUUGCUUGAGGAUGAAUUCCCAGGCGAACUUGAGAUCACUGGUGAGGGCACACCCUCAACCACAGGCUGGUUUGAGGUGGAGGUAGACAAGAAGUUGGUGCACUCAAAGAAGAAUGGCGAUGGAUUUGUUGACUCUGAGUCAAAAUUCAAAGCAGUUGUGACUGCCAUUGAGCAGGCCAUAGGGAAAUAAGCAUGAACCGAUCAUAGAGGAGAAAUUAAGCAGUACAGGCUUGAAACAAAACACGGCAGUUUUUCUUCUCUGUAUGUUGGACUCCUGGGCAGUGCAACAAUGAUGGUGACGUCUAAAGUGUUUUCAGCACGGAUGUUGCUUGAUGCUCUCCGCUCUUCCCGGGAGAAGACACUCGGAGCGGGAAACUCCCUAUGUAUACUGCUUCAGAUAAACGCUUUAACGGUUUAAAAUAAUAAAGGAAAAUAAAAGGGAAAUUGUAAAAUUAGACAGAAUUUGGACAGAAAAUGUCAAGUCGAAGUACUUUUGACAUGUCUUUUCUUGUUUUUCUCUGUUUGCUUCUGUACAACGCACAAUUUGACGAACUAUUUUGGCAUUGUUUUAAGAUUUUUAUGCAAUAAAAGCUUCAUGGUGAA